rnacentral:rRNA from 1 species
GGAAUUGUUCGCAAUGGGCGCAAGCCUGCCGACGCAACGCCGCGUGGAGGAUGAAGAUCUUCGGGUCGUAAACUCCUGUCGACUGGGCCGAACGGGUUGCGGGUGAAUAACCCGUACCCGUGACGGUACCGUUAAAGGAAACCCCGGCUAACUCCGUGCCCGCAGCCGCGGUAAUACGGGGGGGGUAAGCGUUGUUCGGAAUUCCUGGGCGUAAAGGGCUCGUAGGCGGCCAACUAAGUCAGACGUGAAAUCCCUCAGCUUAACUGGGGAACUGCGUCUGAUACUGGAUGGCUUGGAUCCGGGAGAGGGAUGCGGAAUUCCAGGUGUAGCGGUGAAAUGCGUAGAUAUCUGGAGGAACACCGGUGGCGAAGGCGGCAUCCUGGACCGGCAUUGACGCUGAGGAGCGAAAGCCAGGGGAGCAAAC